rnacentral:rRNA from 1 species
UACGAAGGGGGCUAGCGUUGUUCGGAAUUACUGGGCGUAAAGCGCACGUAGGCGGACUAUUAAGUCAGGGGUGAAAUCCCGGGGCUCAACCCCGGAACUGCCUCUGAUACUGGUAGUCUAGAGUCCGGAAGAGGUGAGUGGAAUUCCGAGUGUAGAGGUGAAAUUCGUAGAUAUUCGGAGGAACACCAGUGGCGAAGGCGGCUCACUGGUCCGGUACUGACGCUGAGGUGCGAAAGCGUGGGGAGCAAACGGG